CCUACGGGAGGCAGCAGUGGGGAAUAUUGCACAAUGGGGGAAACCCUGAUGCAGCGACGCCGCGUGAGUGAAGAAGUAAUUCGUUAUGUAAAGCUCUAUCAGCAGGGAAGAAAAUGACGGUACCUGAGUAAGAAGCCCCGGCUAACUACGUGCCAGCAGCCGCGGUAAUACGUAGGGGGCAAGCGUUAUCCGGAUUUACUGGGUGUAAAGGGAGCGUAGACGGUGCGCCAAGUCUGAAGUGAAAUGUCGCAGCUCAACCGCGGGACUGCUUUGGAAACUGGCGAACUUGAGUGCGGGAGGGGUAAGCGGAAUUCCGAGUGUAGCGGUGAAAUGCGUAGAUAUUAGGAGGAACACCAGUGGCGAAGGCGGCUUACUGGACCGUAACUGACGUUGAGGCUCGAAAGCGUGGGGAGCAAACAGGAUUAGAUACCCUUGUAGUC
rnacentral:rRNA from 1 species